rnacentral:sRNA from 1 species
GGCUGGACUAGGGAAGCGUACCCGAAAGAGCGGAUAACCCACCCGCUUUGUCUGGCCUAUCAGUUUGUGGG